rnacentral:rRNA from 1 species
GACGAACGCUGGCGGCGUGCUUAACACAUGCAAGUCGAGCGGUAAGGCCCUUUCGGGGGUACACGAGCGGCGAACGGGUGAGUAACACGUGGGUGACCUGCCCUCAGCUCUGGGAUAAGCCUGGGAAACCGGGUCUAAUACUGGAUAUGACUCCAUGACGCAUGUUGUGGGGUGGAAAGCCUUGUGCGGCUGAGGAUGGGCCCGCGGCCUAUCAGCUUGUUGGUGGGGNGAUGGCCUACCAAGGCGACGACGGGUAGCCGUCCUGAGAGGGCGACCGGCCACACUGGGACUGAGACACGGCCCAGACUCCUACGGGAGGCAGCAGUGGGGAAUCUUGCGCAAUGGGCGAAAGCCUGACGCAGCGACGCCGCGUGAGGGAUGACGGCCUGG